CACUAAAACUGAGAAAACAAAGGGAAAAGGGAAGGGUGAACGAGGACAAGGAAUCCGUGUCAAGGAGCUGAUGCUUGUGUUUUUUUUUUUUUAUGCUUUCCUGACCCUGGACCUUUUUGGCUACAGCACUCACGUUAGAGACUGAUGCAACUCACAUCCUCUUUAAUGACAGACGAUUGAAUGAGAGGCUCGAGAUGUUGAGUCAUGGUCAAAUCUAGCGGUGGCUUUCUGUCAGUUACCAAAAAAAAGGGGGGGAAAGUAACGACUAUUUGCAAUUCGAAAAGGCCGACAAGAGAAACAACAAAACAAUGCAUGCUUUAAUUCUUCCUCAGCAAGUAAGUGCCUUUAAAAAAAAAAAAAAUAGGGGGAAAAUAUAUUUUUGCAAUUUCUGUGGGGGGGAAAGGGCGAUAGGGGUCAGUGGUGUAUAUAUUUUCAAUCAUGAACGGAUUGCUUUACAAAGUUUACCGAUGCUGUGGGGGAGGGGGGUGUCAGGAUUUUUACACUGAGGCACCAAGCGAUUUUUCGUGUUUUUGUUUUGGUACUUCUAGCUUCUCGUGUGAAACACAGGCCGAUUACCAGAGAGGAAGUAACGACAUCAUUGCACGGAGACGCAGAGAAUCAAAAGGAAGCGGUAGAGUGGUUUGAUAUUUUAAAAAAAUGCUUACGUGAAUAACAUGGAAGGGGAAAAACAAGGCAUAUCAGACAGUUUCAUUUCUUAUCAACUGGGUCGAGUUGGCGGCAAAAUGCUGAGGUGGGCAACAUAAAGGCCAUUCUCAAUGAACGGCCUUUCUCCUCAGUCAAUGCAACGGUUAGUUUCCUGUACUUUUUUGGUUUCAAAUGUACGGGGGGCCGGGGGUCCUCGAUUUACAAAUGAGUCACAACUGCGGAGACCGAAAACAAAGCUCGGGAUGGGCGUUCCUUGAGCUACAAUAGGGAGAAAUUAAUGAACCGCUCUUUGAAUAUACUGUAUAGAUAUAUUUUUUUAAUAAGAUGGGAGAAUCUUCCUGUGAAUGUUCGGAACUUUCCAUGUCAGUGUGAUAUCGAGCAGACGAAUACUGCCUCGGCCUCGGAUGUGCGAACGCUCUCCAUGUUUGUCUCGCUCGAUUGAAGACGCGAUUUCCUUGCGAUUGAGUUGGCAGUUCACAGUAGGAAUGGACGUCAUUCCUAACUGUCGCAAAAAAAAAUAAUGUAUGGGGACCUGUUUUUCUAUCAAUCACAGUUUUUGUACAGUUUGUCUAUUUUUGGGUGAUGUAACUGCACCCGGCGAUGCGCAGCUCUCACUUGUGCGCCGUUGAGCAUCCCUGGUGUAUUUUUUUUUUUUUUACUAUUCUUAUGCCAAUUGUGAUAUUGUGCAUGUGUUCAAAUUGAAUGAUUCAAGUAAAAAAAAAAAAAAAAAAAAA